AACAAGUAUUGCUGAAAAUGCAUGCUGUAGAAGACAUGGUAGCAGACAAUUGCAUUGCCUCCUAUUGUAAAGUGGCCUUAUAGAAUGGCUUCACCCUGCACACUUGGUUUCGCAUGGAUCCAUUAAAUAACAUUAAUGUUGAUGAGGAUAAACUUUAUCUUUAUUGGUCUUUCCUGACCAUGCAAUCUAAGAUCCUUGACAAGUGCAAAUGGGGUAUUUUGUGGACAGCUUGGUGCCAUGUAUGUUUUCAGGGAAGCCCUCAACCCAGCACGGAUAGUUGCAACUUAUCAAUUAGGACCUGGAUGUAAGGUGAGAGUGACUAUUUGCUAUAAAUUCCUUGUAAACUUUGAAUUGUUAUUGUGAUGUAACAUGGUAUUCAGUGAAAAGUCUUCAGUGUGGUUUGAAAGUGUUUUCUGUU
rnacentral:lncRNA from 1 species